rnacentral:rRNA from 1 species
GAUGAACGCUUGCGGCAGGCCUAAUACAUGCAAGUCGAACGAUAGUGAGAAGCUUGCUUCUCACGAAAGUGGCGCACGGGUGCGUAACGCGUAUGCAACCUACCUUAAUCAGGGGGAUAGCCCGAAGAAAUUCGGAUUAACACCGCAUAAAAUCACAGUAUAGCAUUAUACAAUGAUCAAAUAUUUAUAGGAUUAAGAUGGGCAUGCGUGACAUUAGUUAGUUGGCGGGGUAACGGACCACCAAGACCACGAUGUCUAGGGGAUCUGAGAGGAUGACCACCCACGCUAGUACUGAGACACGGACCAGACUCCUACGGGAGGCAGCAGUAAGGAGUAUUGGUCAAUGUAGGCAACUCUGAACCAGCCAUGCCGCGUGCAGGAAGACAGCCCUCUGGGUCGUAAACUGCUUUUAUUCGGGAAUAAACCUAUCUACGUGUAGAUAGCUGAAUGUACCGAAGGAAUAAGGAUCGGCUAACUCCGUGCCAGCAGCCGCAGUAA